UGCCUACGGGGGGCAGCAGUGGGGAAUAUUGCACAAUGGGGGGAACCCUGAUGCAGCGACGCCGCGUGGGUGAAGGAGUACUUCGGUACGUAAAGCCCUAUCAGCAGGAAAGAAAAUGACGGUACCUGACUAAGAAGCCCCGGCUAACUACGUGCCAGCAGCCGCGGUAAUACGUAGGGGGCAAGCGUUAUCCGGAUUUACUGGGUGUAAAGGGAGCGUAGACGGCAGUGCAAGUCCGGAGUGAAAGCCCGGGGCCCAACCCCGGGACUGCUCUGGGAACUGUGCGGCUGGAGUGCGGGAGGGGG
rnacentral:rRNA from 1 species